AAGUCGAGCGCCCCGCAAAGGGGAGCGGCGGACGGGUGAGUAACACUGGGGAAUUUUCCUCAAGGUACGGAACAACUCAGGGAAACUUGGGCUAAUACCGUAUGAUGCAGAGAUGCCAAAGAUUUAUCGCCUUGGGAUAAGACCCGCGUCAGAUUAGGUAGUUGGUGGGGUAAUGGCCUACCAAGCCUGUGAUCUGUAGCUGGUCUGAGAGGACGAUCAGCCACAUUGGGACUGAGACACGGCCCAAACUCCUACGGGAGGCAGCAGUGGGGAAUCUUGCGCAAUGGACGAAAGUCUGACGCAGCCAUGCCGCGUGAAUGAUGAAGGUCUUAGGAUUGUAAAGUUCUUUAGCCUGUGACGAUGAUGACGGUAACAGGAGAAUAAGCCCCGGCUAACUUCGUG
rnacentral:rRNA from 1 species